GACGGACGCUGGCGGCGUGCCUAAUACAUGCAAGUCGAACGCACUCUCGUUUAGAUUGAAGGAGUUUGCUCCUGAUUGAUAAACAUUUGAGUGAGUGGCGGACGGGUGAGUAACACGUGGGUAACCUGCCCUAAAGUGGGGGAUAACAUUUGGAAACAGAUGCUAAUACCGCAUAAAACCUAACACCGCAUGGUGUAGGGUUGAAAGAUGGUUUCGGCUAUCACUUUAGGAUGGACCCGCGGUGCAUUAGUUAGUUGGUGAGGUAAAGGCUCACCAAGACCGUGAUGCAUAGCCGACCUGAGAGGGUAAUCGGCCACACUGGGACUGAGACACGGCCCAGACUCCUACGGGAGGCAGCAGUAGGGAAUCUUCCACAAUGGACGAAAGUCUGAUGGAGCAACGCCGCGUGAGUGAAGAAGGUUUUCGGAUCGUAAAACUCUGUUGUUGGAGAAGAAUGUAUCUGAUAGUAACUGAUCAGGUAGUGACGGUAUCCAACCAGAAAGCCACGGCUAACUACGUG
rnacentral:rRNA from 1 species